rnacentral:lncRNA from 1 species
AAAUAUACACAUGAAACAUUUUAUUUAUUUGUAAACCACAAUGUCAUAGUUUACAUCGAAAUUAUCAGCUUUCUUUUCUUGCAAGGUAUAAAUACUAUAGUAGCAGUAUAUAUAUACAUGUUUGAUGAUUGUUUCUUCUUCCAAAUCAGCAUCUCCCAUUCUUCACAACCUACUAUACAAUGGAAAAGAGUCAGUAAGAAGUUCUAGAAAUAAAAAAGAUACUCCAAAUUCACGAAAGAGUUCAUAACAAAAACACUCUAGAAAAGAAAGAUCAACAAGCCCUUGUGCUUUCUGGAAUAGACUGGAUAGACUGGAUAAAGUAAUAUCUUGUGCUUUCUGGAAUAAUGUCUUGGGUCAAAAUAAUUGAUGCACACAUAUCGCACAAGUCUAUAUAUUGAUGUCAUCAUGAGAUUUUACUGAAAUAUUUGAAGCCAAUUGCAUGUACAAUAUCAAUAGGGGAAAUCCAUGACCUAUGUGCAGAAACAACAUUUGGUAGUUGCAGAAGUUAGAUCAUUCAGAGCUUUUAUUCUAGCAUGCUAACUGAUAGGUCUUGCACACGGAAUUUAGUCACAACAACAUUCAUUCCAUACAAAUGUCGUUAAGUAUUACUGUAUUAAGAACUAUAGAAAUGUAUUUUAAGACAUCAGGAUCAGAAACUAUACCUGGGAUGCAGAUUUGUUAGGUGACGCCUCCACGGCGAAAUCAUAGUCUCACACUCUCGCUACUUCCCAUAAGAUCCAUAAUUCAGCAAGGACUUCAGUCUGUUAGUUGUGGCCUCAAAGCCUAUGAACAUAUCUACUAACAAUUAACUAAAUUCAUGUUAACAAAAGAAAGUUACCCCAAACAAAUGUGUAGCCGUCUUACAUCUCUCUCAACAGAACUGAAGUGCACAUGUUUCGUCUCUAGCAAAAUAUCUUCCUUGUUGUAUUUGUUCCAUUCUGGACUUCGUCGGUUUCAAAGGUACGAACAAAACAACUGUAAAAAAAUAAUGGCGGCACAAAUGAUGAUUCACCAUCUACAUAUUAUAAAGAAAAAACGAAGGAGAGACAGUGGCGACAUGUCGGAUGCGGGAUGUGGCCAACUUGGAUAAGUCAUCAUGCAACCAUGGGGCAUGGUUAGACAGCAAGCCCAGGGGCCGGUGCCAUCGAUCGGGCAGCCUAUCAGUGAUAGCGACUUAC